rnacentral:rRNA from 1 species
CAUCGCUCCUUGUAUAAUAAAAAUAAGGAGUACUGCCUGCCCAGUGACUAAAAAUUCAACGGCCGCGGUAUCUUGACCGUGCAAAGGUAGCAUAAUAAUUUGCUCUUUAAUUGAGGGCUAGUAUGAAAGGCAAGACGAAGGCAAAACUGUCUCCCUAAUAAAAAAAGAAAUUAAUAUUUUAGUGAAGAAACUAAAAUUUUAACGUAAGACGAGAAGACCCUGUCGAGCUUAAGAAAACUUUUAUAUUUAAAAACAAAAAGCUAAUUAAAUAAUAAAAAUACUUAAACUUAAUUAAAUAAUAAAAAUAUCUUUGGUUGGGGUAACCACGAAGAAAAAAAAACCUUCGAUAAAGAAAAAAAAUAAACAAAUUUAAAAGCCAAAAGCUUAAAAGAUCCGGAAAUACCGAGCAAAGGAAAAAGUUACCGCAGGGAUAACAGCGUUAUUCUCUUUAAGAGCUCGUAUUGACAAGAGAGUUUGCGACCUCGAUGUUGGACCGGGGCACCCAAGAGAUGCAGAAGUCUCUAAAGGUAGGUCUGUUCGACCUUUAAAGCCCUACGUGA